AUGCUCCAAUGAUGUUAGCACUGGGCACAGAUUGCUAUGAUGAUGACAGUGCACUCCAUGCCUUUGACACAUGGGGGACUGAGGAGCAG
rnacentral:snoRNA from 1 species